rnacentral:rRNA from 1 species
ACUGGUGCAAGCGAGGUAGAGGAUUAGUUGGCAAAUCCGCUAAUCAACUCAAAGACGUGAUGCGGAGCGAAAUUAAAGUAGCGAAGUAAGUAGAGUCUGUGCCGAGAAAAGCCGCUAUUGUAUUUAUUGUACCCGUACCGUAAACCGACACAGGUGGAUGAGGAGAGAAUCCUAAGGCCGACGGAAGAAGCAUUGUUAAGGAAUUCGGCAAAAUGACCCCGUAACUUCGGGAGAAGGGGUGCCUGAUUAACGUCAGGCCGCAGAGAAUAGGCUCAAGCAACUGUUUAGCAAAAACACAGGUCUAUGCGAAACCGUAAGGUGAUGUAUAUGGGCUGACGCCUGCCCGGUGCUGGAAGGUUAAGAGGAGAGGUUAGCGCAAGCGAAGCUUUGAAUUUAAGCCCCAGUAAACGGCGGCCGUAACUAUAACGGUCCUAAGGUAGCGAAAUUCCUUGUCGGGUAAGUUCCGACCCGCACGAAAGGCGUAAUGAUUUGAGCACUGUCUCGACAAUGCAUCCGGUGAAAUUGAAGUACCAGUGAAGAUGCUGGUUACCCGCGCCAGGACGGAAAGACCCCAUGGAGCUUUACUCCAGUUUGGUACUGGGAUUCGGUACUGCAUGUACAGGAUAGGUGGGAGACUAAGAUUAUGGGACGCCAGUUUCAUAUGAGUCACUGUUGGGAUACCACCCUUGUAGUAUUGGAUUUCUAACCAGCCGCCGUUAUCCGGUGGUGGGACAAUGCCAGGCGGGGAGUUUGACUGGGGCGGUCGCCUCCGAAAGGGUAUCGGAGGC